rnacentral:snRNA from 1 species
AGCUUUGUGCAGUGGCAGUAUUGUAGGCAAUGAGGUUUAUCCGAGGUUCAAUUAUUGCUAAUUGAAAACUUUUCCCAAUACCCCGCCAUUAUGACUUGAAAUAUAGUCUGCAAAAUUUAAAAUAAAAUAAA